rnacentral:misc_RNA from 2 species
CCCAACUAUCCCUAUUAAUCAUUACGUCAAUCCUAGAAACCAACAAAAUAGGAUCAAACGUCCUAUUUCAUUAUUCCAUGCUAAUGUAUUCAAGCCUUAGCCUGCUUUAAACACUCUAAUUUUUUCAAAGUAACAGUCCUGAUUUCCUGCAACACCAAAUUAAUGACAUUACAGUUCGUCAAGAGGGAGGAAUCAGUGAGACCAGUACAUACCAGAGGCAUGAGCAACCUACUAAUCCCGAAAUUCAACUACGAGCUUUUUAACUGCAACAACUUUAAUAUACGCUAUUGGAGCUGGAAUUACCGCGGCUGCUGGCACCAGACUUGCCCUCCAA